ensembl:snRNA U6 U6 spliceosomal RNA
GUGCUCACUUUGGCAGCACAUUUACUAAAAUUGGAAAGACGCAGAGAAGAUUAGCAUGACCCCUGCACAGGGAGUAGAUGCAAAUUCAUGAAGCGUUCCAUAUUUUU